AGAGUUUGAUCCUGGCUCAGAGUGAACGCUGGCGGCAGGCCUAACACAUGCAAGUCGAACGGCAGCACGGUAAGAGCUUGCUCUUAUGGGUGGCGAGUGGCGGACGGGUGAGGAAUACAUCGGAAUCUACUCUUUCGUGGGGGAUAACGUAGGGAAACUUACGCUAAUACCGCAUACGACCCACGGGUGAAAGCGGAGGACCUUCGGGCUUCGCGCGAUUGAAUGAGCCGAUGUCGGAUUAGCUAGUUGGCGGGGUAAAGGCCCACCAAGGCGACGAUCCGUAGCUGGUCUGAGAGGAUGAUCAGCCACACUGGAACUGAGACACGGUCCAGACUCCUACGGGAGGCAGCAGUGGGGAAUAUUGGACAAUGGGCGCAAGCCUGAUCCAGCCAUGCCGCGUGGGUGAAGAAGGCCUUCGGGUUGUAAAGCCCUUUUGUUGGGAAAGAAAAGCAGUCGGUUAAUACCCGAUUGUUCUGACGGUACCCAAAGAAUAAGCACCGGCUAACUUCGUGCCAGCAGCCGCGGUAAUACGAAGGGUGCAAGCGUUACUCGGAAUUACUGGGCGUAAAGCGUGCGUAGGUGGUGGUUUAAGUCUGUUGUGAAAGCCCUGGGCUCAACCUGGGAAUUGCAGUGGAUACUGGGUCACUAGAGUGUGGUAGAGGGUAGCGGAAUUCCCGGUGUAGCAGUGAAAUGCGUAGAGAUCGGGAGGAACAUCCGUGGCGAAGGCGGCUACCUGGACCAACACUGACACUGAGGCACGAAAGCGUGGGGAGCAAACAGGAUUAGAUACCCUGGUAGUCCACGCCCUAAACGAUGCGAACUGGAUGUUGGGUGCAAUUUGGCACGCAGUAUCGAAGCUAACGCGUUAAGUUCGCCGCCUGGGGAGUACGGUCGCAAGACUGAAACUCAAAGGAAUUGACRGGGGCCCGCACAAGCGGUGGAGUAUGUGGUUUAAUUCGAUGCAACGCGAAGAACCUUACCUGGUCUUGACAUCCACGGAACUUUCCAGAGAUGGAUUGGUGCCUUCGGGAACCGUGAGACAGGUGCUGCAUGGCUGUCGUCAGCUCGUGUCGUG
rnacentral:rRNA from 1 species